UGCCCCUAAGACGAGGAUAACAGUUGGAAACGACUGCUAAGACUGGAUAGGAGACAAGAAGGCAUCUUCUUGUUUUUAAAAGACCUAGCAAUAGGUAUGCUUAGGGAGGAGCUUGCGUCACAUUAGUUAGUUGGUGGGGUAAAGGCCUACCAAGACUAUGAUGUGUAGCCGGGCUGAGAGGUUGAACGGCCACAUUGGGACUGAGACACGGCCCAAACUCCUACGGGAGGCAGCAGUAGGGAAUUUUCGGCAAUGGAGGAAACUCUGACCGAGCAACGCCGCGUGAACGAUGAAGUAUUUCGGUACGUAAAGUUCUUUUAUUAGGGAAGAAUAAAUGAUGGAAAAAUCAUUCUGACGGUACCUAAUGAAUAAGCCCCGGCUAACUAUGUGCCAGCAGCCGCGGUAAUACAUAGGGGGCAAGCGUUAUCCGGAAUUAUUGGGCGUAAAGGGUGCGUAGGCGGUUAAAUAAGUUUAUGGUCUAAGUGCAAUGCUCAACAUUGUGAUGCUAUAAAAACUGUUUAGCUAGAGUAAGAUAGAGGCAAGUGGAAUUCCAUGUGUAGUGGUAAAAUGCGUAAAUAUAUGGAGGAACACCAGUAGCGAAGGCGGCUUGCUGGGUCUUUACUGACGCUGAGGCACGAAAGCGUGGGGAGCAAACAGGAUUAGAUACCCUGGUAGUCCACGCCGUAAACGAUGAGUACUAAACGUUGGGUAAAACCAGUGUUGAAGUUAACACAUUAAGUACUCCGCCUGAGUAGUACGUACGCAAGUAUGAAACUUAAAGGAAUUGACGGGACUCCGCACAAGCGGUGGAUCAUGUUGUUUAAUUCGAAGGUACCCGAAAAACCUCACCAGGUCUUGACAUGCUUCUGCAAAGCUGUAGAAACACAGUGGAGGUUAUCAGUUGCACAGGUGGUGCAUGGUUGUCGUCAGCUCGUGUCGUGAGAUGUUGGGUUAAGUCCCGCAACGAGCGCAACCCUUAUUGUUAGUUACCAGCACGUAAUGGUGGGGACUUUAGCAAGACUGCCAGUGAUGAAUUGGAGGAAGGUGGGGACGACGUCAAAUCAUCAUGCCCCUUAUGACCUGGGCUACAAACGUGAUACAAUGGCUGUUACAAAGGGUAGCUGAAGCGCAAGUUUUUGGCGAAUCUCAAAAAAACAGUCUCAGUUCGGAUUGAAGUCUGCAACUCGACUUCAUGAAGUUGGAAUCGCUAGUAAUCGCGAAUCAGCAUGUCGCGGUGAAUACGUUCUCGGGGUUUGUACACACCGCCCGU
rnacentral:rRNA from 1 species